rnacentral:pre_miRNA from 5 species
AUGUGAGGAUUGGUCCAAAGCCCACUAAAGUCAAUGAAAGUCUUUCCAUUGACUUAAAUGGGAUUUGAAUCAGACCCUAAAU